GCCGAAUUCAUAUUAGAGACGGGAAACUCGUCUCAGACGGGAAACUCGUCUCAGACGGGAAACUCGUCUAAUAUGAAUCCGGGCGCAGACGAGUUUCCCGUCCGAACUUUCCCGUCUAACUUACCCGUCUAAACAGACGGGAAAGUUAGACGGGAAUCUCAUCUAGACGGGAAACUCGUCUUAAAUUCGAAUUUACCCAUCCCUAAAUUCAUAUUCAGACGGG